UACGUAGGGUGCAAGCGUUGUCCGGAAUUAUUGGGCGUAAAGAGCUCGUAGGCGGUUUGUCGCGUCUGCUGUGAAAAACCCGAGGCUCAACCUCGGGCCUGCAGUCGAUACGGGCAGGCUAGAGUUCGGUAGGGGAGAUCGGAAUUCCUGGUGUAGCGGUGAAAUGCGCAGAUAUCAGGAGGAACACCGGUGGCGAAGGCGGAUCUCUGGGCCGAUACUGACGUGAGGAGCGAAAAGCGUGGGGGAGCGAAACAGG
rnacentral:rRNA from 1 species